rnacentral:rRNA from 1 species
UACGUAGGGUGCGAGCGUUAAUCGGAAUUACUGGGCGUAAAGCGUGCGCAGGCGGUUUUGUAAGUCUGUCGUGAAAGCCCCCGGGCUCAACCUGGGAAUUGCGAUGGAGACUGCAAGGCUUGAAUCUGGCAGAGGGGGGUAGAAUUCCACGUGUAGCAGUGAAAUGCGUAGAGAUGUGGAGGAACACCGAUGGCGAAGGCAGCCCCCUGGGUCAAGAUUGACGCUCGAUGCACGAAAGCGUGGGGAGCAAACAGG